CCCUCUCCCAAGCCGCCGCCACUCCUUCUCCAUCCCCUUUCUCUCUAUUCUCUCUCUACCGCCCACCUCUCUCCACCUCCUCUCUCCAAGCCGCGCCACCAGGAGUUCAGCAGCCGCCAGAAGCUGCCAUCUAGAAGGGAGCAUUCACCGCCCGACUCUCCGUCUCCCGUCCCCUCGCCCCCGUGCUCCGUCAGCGGCCCCUCUCCGAAAUUGGCAGAGUCAUGGAGUUUACCUUACCUGGAUGCUUUCGGUGCUGCCAAGAACAUGCAUGUUUAUGAGGUCUCAUUUAUAGAUUCUUGGGUAUUAUCAUUGAGUCCUAUGAGACGAGCAUUUCUCAAGGUGAUGAGGAAAUCUAACAAUCAUUAAUUAAGAUACAUAUAUCUGGUUGAUGGCCUAGGAAGAAUAAGAUGGCAAGGCUCUGGAUCUGCAACACAAGAAGAACUGUCAUCACUAAUAGCGUGUACCUCUAUUUUCUUAGAUGAAAAUGAGAUGGGGUGGCUGAUCUUUGCUAUUUUGUAACUUCUGGUACAAGAUAUUUUUGUGAAUGAUCAUCUCUGGAGCUUUUGUGAAUGAUCUAGCUAGCUAUCUGUAAAUGGUCUAAUUGUGAAUGAUAUUAUAGUUGUGAUGCUUUUGUGAAUAUAUAAUUGUGGUGCUUUUGUGU